CUGGAUGUAUUUGAAUUGGCAGAGUGGAACAACUUUUAUUCCUCUCACUUCAUGAAGUCCAAAACAUGCUGUGUUUGGGGUGGGGACUUUUUCAAAGUUGUGGCAGCAAUGAAGCAACCCUUCAUUAUUUUAGGAGAGGAAUUCCUGAUAUGUUUUGUUUUGUUUUGUUUUUUGUUUUUGGUCCAGCGUAUUGAUCGCAUAAAGUUCCCUGCUGUGUGCUGACAGGUAGGUCAGCUCUUUGGAAUGAAAAGGAGUUGGAUAAGGCACCGGUCCUGACAGUGACGAGUACACUCCUGCAGCUCUUUGUGUCUUCAAACAGGCGUGUCAGGACAGGCAGAGGUCUGAGGUAUGCCUCCCCAGCUGCAGCCGCUCCCCAGCCUCUCUUCCCUGAGCUCUGUGGAUCGGUUUUCCUUCCCUGUGGCUACGCAUUUCUCCCCUCCUUAUCUGUCUACUCAAGCCUGGUCUUAACUAGUGAGGAACAUAGCAAGGAACAGUUCAUUUACAUUUGAUUUUGAAAGUUGAAAGAUAAUGUUCCUUUCCUUUGUCUCUUUGUGUGAUUAUUUAAAGUGUUCAUGCUUUCCAACAGUCAGGUUUGAGUGUGAAUCACUGAAGGUUUACUCCCUCUGUCUCCACUCCUGCAUCCUAAAGUCUGACAAUGCUCACACUCAGUUUUACGUUUCUAAAGCCCUACAUAGUCUUCAGAUGAUUCCUGCUUUUCAGAAGAUGUUUGUCAGCCACUGAACAGCGCAAAAAAUGACUAGGCUUUGCACGCUUCUGUGUCUCUCAGAGCUGGCAGAGUCAGACAAAUUGUGCUGCUGCAUCAUUUCAUUCAAAGACUAACAGUAAACUCUAGAUGUUGUCAGCAGAAACAAGCAUAGAACGAUCUGCUUUGUCAUCUCUCUAUAUGGUGAUUUAAGUGAAUAUCAUACUGUGCAGACUGCUUAGGUAUCUUUGACUUUCAGCUUUAUAUUCCUGGAAAACCACUGCAUAUUUUCUUUCAUUGUGGAGAGCCAUGCAUUCACACUUGGCUGACUAACUCUGCUGCUGACCUGCUCUUGGCCUCCCUGUCUCAUUUUUGACUGCUUUUUGGGGCUUUUUGGGUCUGAUCAUGCUCCGCAUCAUAGAGUUUAACCCUGCCUCUACAUUAUUGUACAAUGUAUCUCACCUCUAACAGAGUCAACCAGCUCCAAACCUGUAUCACAAUCCCAUCAUGUGGACAUAAUGAGCAAUUUAUUCAUACACAAUGAUAAGAAGUAAUUCAAACAAACAAAGCAAAAUAUCAGAAAUAAAAUGGUAUUGACUUUACUAAUUUUGCACAACAUCUAAACUCUCCUGAGCGGCUGCCCAAUGAUUGAGCAGUAAAAUUUCCCCAGAAAUGUCCUGAAAUGUUUUGAAUUCAUGUCCAAUUGAUGAUCAAAGUGUUAAGUUAGAAUUUUGCCUAUAAAUGCAAAUGAGAAAAAUGUUAUUUACCAAGGAAGGGAGUGUAUAUCCUGACAAAUGUAAAUAUGCAACCAAUACAACCCCUCUAAAUAUACUUUAGAUGCUGCAAAAUAUUGAACAAAGCUCAGUGAUGAAAAAAAAAAAAAAAAGACAAUGCACACCUAUGGCCUUUUUAUAGACAGAUG